rnacentral:rRNA from 1 species
GGAUCAUUACCGAGUGCAGGUCUGCCCCCGGGCAGGCCUAACCUCCCACCCGUGAAUACCUGACCAACGUUGCUUCGGCGGUGCGCCCCCCCGGGGGUAGCCGCCGGAGACCACACCGAACCUCCUGUCUUUAGUGUUGUCUGAGCUUGAUAGCAAACCUAUUAAAACUUUCAACAAUGGAUCUCUUGGUUCCGGCAUCGAUGAAGAACGCAGCGAACUGCGAUAAGUAAUGUGAAUUGCAGAAUUCAGUGAAUCAUCGAGUCUUUGAACGCACAUUGCGCCCCCUGGCAUUCCGGGGGGCAUGCCUGUCCGAGCGUCAUUGCUGCCCUUCAAGCCCGGCUUGUGUGUUGGGUCGUCGUCCCCCCCGGGGGACGGGCCCGAAAGGCAGCGGCGGCACCGCGUCCGGUCCUCGAGCGUAUGGGGCUUUGUCACCCGCUCGAUUAGGGCCGGCCGGGCGCCAGCCGGCGUCUCCAACCUUCUAUUUUACCAGGUUGACCUCGGAUCAGGUAGGGAUACCCGCUGAACUUAAGCAUAUCAAUAAGCGGAGGAAAAGAAACCAACAGGGAUUGCCCCAGUAACGGCGA